rnacentral:misc_RNA from 1 species
GAUGAAGAACGCAGCGAAAUGCGAUAAGUAGUGUGAAUUGCAGAAUUCAGUGAAUCAUCGAAUCUUUGAACGCACAUUGCGCCCCUUGGUAUUCCAUGGGGCAUGCCUGUUCGAGCGUCAUUUGUACCUUCAAGCUCUGCUUGGUGUUGGGUGUUUGUCUCGCCUCUGCGUGUAGACUCGCCUCAAAACAAUUGGCAGCCGGCGUAUUGAUUUCGGAGCGCAGUACAUCUCGCGCUUUGCACUCAUAACGACGACGUCCAAAAGUACAUUUUUACACUCUUGACCUCGGAUCAGGUAGGGAUACCCGCUGAACUUAAGCAUAUCAAUGAGCGGAGGA